rnacentral:rRNA from 1 species
AUUGAACGCUGGCGGCAGGCCUAACACAUGCAAGUCGAGCGGAUGAAGGGAGCUUGCUCCUGGAUUCAGCGGCGGACGGGUGAGUAAUGCCUAGGAAUCUGCCUGGUAGUGGGGGAUAACGUCCGGAAACGGGCGCUAAUACCGCAUACGUCCUGAGGGAGAAAGUGGGGGAUCUUCGGACCUCACGCUAUCAGAUGAGCCUAGGCCGGAUUAGCUAGUUGGUGGGGUAAAGGCCUACCAAGGCGACGAUCCGUAACUGGUCUGAGAGGAUGAUCAGUCACACUGGAACUGAGACACGGUCCAGACUCCUACGGGAGGCAGCAGUGGGGAAUAUUGGACAAUGGGCGAAAGCCUGAUCCAGCCAUGCCGCGUGUGUGAAGAGGGUCUUCGGAUUGUAAAGCACUUUAAGUUGGGAGGAAGGGCAGUAAGUUAAUACCUUGCUGUUUUGACGUUACCAACAGAAUAAGCACCGGCUAACUUCGUG